GGAGGUGUGGCUUAACUGGAAGAGUGCCUGUCUAACAAGCAUGAAGCCCUAAGUACAAAUCCCAGUACUGCCA
rnacentral:tRNA from 1 species